GUCGCUUCUCUGCCUUUUGGCUAAGAUCAAGUGUACGCGUCUGUUCUUAUCGGCUGAAUAUAUGAUACGGGCCUAAUAGGUCCAAGAUAUUAAACUUAUUUUUUUAAACAGUCUCCCUUCGCAGCUUGCUUCGAGGUCGCCAGGGUUAGCCCGGUAUUGAACUACUUCCGGGAGUGGCUCGUCUUCC
rfam:Ixodes scapularis strain Wikel colony gcontig_1107729059684, whole genome shotgun sequence.